AAACCAACAGGGAUUGCCCCAGUAACGGCGAGUGAAGCGGCAAAAGCUCACAUUGAAAUCUUCGGAGUUGUAAUGUCAUGGCGGGUAACACAAAGUCCACUGGAACGUGGCGCCACAGAGGGUGACAGCCCCGUUUAGUGCCCAGUACGCCAGAGCGAGUCGAGUUGUUUGGGAAUGCAGCUUCAACGGGUGGUAUACUCCAUCCAAGGCUAAAUAUUGACGAGAGACCGAUAGCGAACAAGUACAGUGAUGGAAAGAUGAAAAGCACUUUGAAAAGAGAGUGAAAAAGCAUGUGAAAUUGCCGGGGGGGAAGGAAAACCAGGGCCUACACUGGCGCGGUGCCACCGGCACGGCCCCAGGGUUAUGGUUUUCACCCGUCUUGAAACACGGACC
rnacentral:rRNA from 2 species